rnacentral:lncRNA from 1 species
UGCAUUAACUCGUCCAAAUAUUUUAUUCAUUGCAUUGAAAUGAUGCUUGUAAUAGACAUGAUUUUUUUUUAAUCGGAAACUGUAUGGGAGGUUCCGACAAUGAGUCUAUUACAUUUUGAAAAGUGUUAUGUACAGAGUUUAUAUUUACAGAGCUAAGGUAAAAACCUCAGCCAAAAAAGAAAAGGAGCAUGGAGAUAUCUUCAAUGAAAUAUCUCUUCCAAGCUCGAAAAUUAGGUCUUGUGCCUUCAAAGAUCCUACUGUUGUGCUGCUUCCAAAUAUUCCAGCAGCUCAUGGCAGCCACAUCCACAAAGAAAGGGUGACCAAAUGUUCUCUUACUCUCUCGAAUGACUUGCUUGAAAUCCACUCCAGGAGACCACUGAAUUUGCAGGUAACAUGAUAUCAUGGUGAGAUUUUUGUUUAGUUUGUAUAUGCAUUAACUAGCUACUAGUAGAUGGGUAACUUCUGGCUUAAUUAUUCCUCAUUUUACUUGGGUAAGCAAUUAUAUGCAUCACUUACUACUCGUAUGCCUCUCUUUAAUUGACCCGGAUAUCUCUCAUGUUUUCCCGCUUCUAAAUAUUUUCAGUGAAUUCCAUUUUGUUUACCCUCUAUUUUUAUUUUUGUGACACAUUUAUCUUUUUAGUGGAUUUUCUACAAACUUAACCCAUUUAAACAAACAUGUGACACAAAAUACCCCAUCUAAUGUUUUUAUUUUUUAUUUUUUUCCGGAGUUAUCGCACGUCGGCCAACUCAUCAGGCCUAUCCGGCGUGAGAAAACAAUCAUAAUUUAAUUUUAUAAAAAUAUAUAUUAAUAUCUACAAUAUCAAAUAUGUAUAAUAUCAAGACAUAUAUAAAAGAUUUAAUAAAAUUAUUUUAAAGUUAUAUUUAGAAACAAAGGGAGUGCUUACUUUAUGAGAGUCCAAGCAUUGAUCGAUCACAGGCGCGCGGGAGCUCCUACUCAGCGGCCUAGCUACGUACCAAUAAUUAAAAAUAAAAAAGAUCUCCAUAGAUAUCUAACAGCCGGUAACUAUUAUUACUCCAUCUAUUUCAAAAUAUCAAUAUAUUUGAGGAUGUCUAAGUCAAAUUUUAUCAACUUUGACCAUAUAUGUAGAAAAAAAAAUACCAACAUAUGAUACACCAAACUAGUAUCUUUA